rnacentral:rRNA from 1 species
GUUUGAUCCUGGCUCAGGACGAACGCUGGCGGCGUGCUUAACACAUGCAAGUCGAACGGAAAGGCCCUGCUUUUGUGGGGUGCUCGAGUGGCGAACGGGUGAGUAACACGUGAGUAACCUGCCCUUGACUUUGGGAUAACUUCAGGAAACUGGGGCUAAUACCGGAUAGGAGCUCCUGCUGCAUGGUGGGGGUUGGAAAGUUUCGGCGGUUGGGGAUGGACUCGCGGCUUAUCAGCUUGUUGGUGGGGUAGUGGCUUACCAAGGCUUUGACGGGUAGCCGGCCUGAGAGGGUGACCGGCCACAUUGGGACUGAGAUACGGCCCAGACUCCUACGGGAGGCAGCAGUGGGAAUAUUGCACAAUGGGCGGAAGCCUGAUGCAGCAACGCCGCGUGCGGGAUGACGGCCUUCGGGUUGUAAACCGCUUUCGCCUGUGACGAAGCGUGAGUGACGGUAAUGGGUAAAGAAGCACCGGCUAACUACGUGCCAGCAGCCGCGGUGAUACGUAGGGUGCGAGCGUUGUCCGGAUUUAUUGGGCGUAAAGGGCUCGUAGGUGGUUGAUCGCGUCGGAAGUGUAAUCUUGGGGCUUAACCCUGAGCGUGCUUUCGAUACGGGUUGACUUGAGGAAGGUAGGGGAGAAUGGAAUUCCUGGUGGAGCGGUGGAAUGCGCAGAUAUCAGGAGGAACACCAGUGGCGAAGGCGGUUCUCUGGGCCUUUCCUGACGCUGAGGAGCGAAAGCGUGGGGAGCGAACAGGCUUAGAUACCCUGGUAGUCCACGCUGUAAACGGUGGGUACUAGGUGUGGGGUCCAUUCCACGGGUUCCGUGCCGUAGCUAACGCUUUAAGUACCCCGCCUGGGGAGUACGGCCGCAAGGCUAAAACUCAAAGGAAUUGACGGGGCCCCGCACAAGCGGCGGAGCAUGCGGAUUAAUUCGAUGCAACGCGUAGAACCUUACCUGGGUUUGACAUGGAUCGGGAGUGCUCAGAGAUGGGUGUGCCUCUUUUGGGGUCGGUUCACAGGUGGUGCAUGGCUGUCGUCAGCUCGUGUCGUGAGAUGUUGGGUUAAGUCCCGCA